CUGCCGAAGGGGGACAACGUUUCGAAAGGAACGCUAAUACCGCAUACGUCCUACGGGAGAAAGCAGGGGACCUUCGGGCCUUGCGCUAUCAGAUGAGCCUAGGUCGGAUUAGCUAGUUGGUGAGGUAAUGGCUCACCAAGGCGACGAUCCGUAACUGGUCUGAGAGGAUGAUCAGUCACACUGGAACUGAGACACGGUCCAGACUCCUACGGGAGGCAGCAGUGGGGAAUAUUGGACAAUGGGCGAAAGCCUGAUCCAGCCAUGCCGCGUGUGUGAAGAAGGUCUUCGGAUUGUAAAGCACUUUAAGUUGGGAGGAAGGGUUGUAGAUUAAUACUCUGCAAUUUUGACGUUACCGACAGAAUAAGCACCGGCUAACUCUGUGCCAGCAGCCGCGGUAAUACAGAGGGUGCAAGCGUUAAUCGGAAUUACUGGGCGUAAAGCGCGCGUAGGUGGUUCGUUAAGUUGGAUGUGAAAGCCCCGGGCUCAACCUGGGAACUGCAUUCAAAACUGACGAGCUAGAGUAUGGUAGAGGGUGGUGGAAUUUCCUGUGUAGCGGUGAAAUGCGUAGAUAUAGGAAGGAACACCAGUGGCGAAGGCGAC
rnacentral:rRNA from 1 species